AGUGAACGCUGGCGGUAGGCCUAACACAUGCAAGUCGAACGGCAGCACAGAGGAGCUUGCUCCUUGGGUGGCGAGUGGCGGACGGGUGAGGAAUACAUCGGAAUCUACUCUGUCGUGGGGGAUAACGUAGGGAAACUUACGCUAAUACCGCAUACGACCUACGGGUGAAAGCAGGGGAUCUUCGGACCACAUGCUAUCGGAUGCGCCUACGUGGGAUUAGCUAGUUGGUGAGGUAAUGGCUCACCAAGGCGACGAUCUCUAGCUGGUUUGGGAGGAUGAUCAGCCACACUGGAACUGAGACACGGUCCAGACUCCUACGGGAGGCAGCAGUGGGGAAUAAUGGACAAUGGGCGCAAGCCUGAUCCAGCCAUGCCGCGUGUGUGAAGAAGGCCUUCGGGUUGUAAAGCACUUUCAGCGAGGAGGAAGGGUGGUGUGUUAAUAGCACAUCAUUUUAACGUUACUCGCAGAAGAAGCACCGGCUAACUCUGUGCCAGCAGCCGCCGUAA
rnacentral:rRNA from 1 species